AACGUAGGAGACAAACGUUAUCCGGAGUUACUGGGCGUAAAGGGCGUGUAGGUGGUUUUGUAAGUCUGGCGUGAAAUUUUUCGGCUUAACCGGGAAAGGUCGUCGGAUACUGCAGGACUAGAGGACGGUAGAGGCGUGUGGAAUUCCGGGUGUAGUGGUGAAAUGCGUAGAGAUCCGGAGGAACACCAGUGGCGAAGGCGACACGCUGGGCCGACCCUGACGCUGAGGCGCGAAGGCGUGGGGAGCGAACGGG
rnacentral:rRNA from 1 species